rnacentral:rRNA from 1 species
UACGUAGGGGGCAAGCGUUGUCCGGAAUCAUUGGGCGUAAAGAGCGUGUAGGCGGCUCGGUAAGUCCGCUCUGAAAGCCCGGGGCUCAACCCCGGGAGGCGGGCGGAUACUGUCGGGCUAGAGUCCGGAAGAGGCGAGUGGAAUUCCUGGUGUAGCGGUGAAAUGCGCAGAUAUCAGGAGGAACACCGAUGGCGAAGGCAGAUCUCUGGGCCGUAACUGACGCUGAGGAGCGAAAGCGUGGGGAGCGAACAGG